rnacentral:lncRNA from 1 species
GAAAGCGCCUACAAAUUGCCCCUCUUCCAUCUCUCUAAGGCGCGCGCCCAGCCCAGAGCGGGCCGGGGCACAGGGCGCAGGCGGGAGGUCGCAUCUGCAGCUUUGGCGCAAUGAAUCAGGCACGGCCGCCGCCGCCGAGCGCGUCUGGCAUCCGGAGUCUCCCGGGAUCGAAAAUAAUUUGGGCAAAGCGGUGGGAGAUUCGUCUAAUGCCAACGCCGUGACCUCAGUUUCCCCACAUUUCCAAGACAGCCGGUCACCCGAGAUCUGCAAGGCCCUGUCUGUCGUCUCCGCACAGCCUCCACCAGCAGACAUCUAAAGAUCUCCAUGAAGAUGAGGUGUCUCAUCAGAGUUGUUGGGACUUACCCACAGAGGGGUCCCUAAAACCAAGGGACAUAGGGUGGUGUUAAGAUGCCUAAGUCCAAUGCCCCCCACUUCAUAGCCUCUAGGUCUCGGUCGUUUCCAG